rnacentral:rRNA from 1 species
CAGCCCCUCGAGUGGUGGGGAUGAUUAUUUGGCCUAAAGCGUCCGUAGCCGGCCGUGUAAGUCUCCCGUUAAAUCCAGCGUCUCAAGCGUUGGACUGCGGGAGAUACUGUACGGCUAGAGAGUGGGAGAGGUCAGCGGUAUUCUGGGGGUAGGGGCGAAAUCCUUUGAUCCCCGGAGGACCACCAGUGGCGAAGGCUGCUGACUAGAACACGUCUGACGGUCAGGGACGAAAGCUGGGGUAGCGAACCGGAUUAGAUACCCGUGUAGUCC